UAGGGAAUAUUGCAAAAUGGGCGAAAGCCCGAUGCAGCAACGCCGCGUGGGCGAUUAAGGCCUUCGGGUCGUAAAGCCCUUUUUGAGGGGAUGAGGAAGGACAGUACCCUCAGAAUAAGCCUCGGCUAACUACGUGCCAGCAGCCGCGGUAAAACGUAGGAGGCGAGCGUUAUCCGGAUUUACUGGGCGAAAAGCGCGUGCAGGCGGAUUGGAGAGUUGGAUGUGAAAGCUCCCGGCUUAACUGGGAGAGGUCGUUCAAUACUUCCAGGCUUGAGUGCAGUAGAGGGAAGUGGAAUUCCGGGUGUAGUGGUGAAAUGCGUAGAUAUCCGGAGGAACACCAGUGGCGAAAGCGGCUUCAUGGACUGUAACUGACGCUCAGACGCGAAAGCUAGGGUAGCAAACG
rnacentral:rRNA from 1 species